UACGGGGGGGGGCAAGCGUUGUUCGGAAUUACUGGGCGUAAAGGGCUCGUAGGCGGCCAACUAAGUCAGACGUGAAAUCCCUCGGCUUAACCGGGGAACUGCGUCUGAUACUGGAUGGCUUGAGGUUGGGAGAGGGAUGCGGAAUUCCAGGUGUAGCGGUGAAAUGCGUAGAUAUCUGGAGGAACACCGGUGGCGAAGGCGGCCAUCUGGACGACUACUGACGCUGAGGCGCGAAAGCGUGGGGAUCAAACAGG
rnacentral:rRNA from 1 species